rnacentral:snoRNA from 1 species
ACUGAGUCUAGAGUAGCAUCCUGACACAGUUCUUGUCCUGGUUUGCUGGAGUCUUUGGAGAUAAUCUGCUGAUUUUGACUCACUGAUAGAGAGUGAUCAAUUCCCCCACUAAUGCCCUGAUCAGAAACAUGU